UUUUGGCUAAAGCUAAAAUUUUUCUAUAAUUAGUUAAAAAUGCUUUAUUAUUAUUAUUUAUUUGAAAUAUAAAAACCACCCAUCAUCACGAUGAUCGUCAUCCUUAAAGUAGAAGCUCUUGUUCCGGGGAGAAACCGUUUUCGCCAUCAGAAAGUGUGAACAUGCGUAGCAAACUGAGAGUCGGUCGAAUUUUAAACUAACUUCCGACUUCACAGAAAAAAAAGGGAUGGUGUUUUUUUCAGUACUAAUAAAAAGGCUAAAACUUAUUAUUUUCAGCUACAAUUCCAUUGAAAUUCAACUAAUUAAACACCAAAUUACUCAAAAAAAAAUUUUAAAAAAAACAGCUCUCCUAUAAGAAAAGAAAAACUACAGUGAAUGUUUAUCUCAUUACUAAACAAAAAUGUGCAAAAAAACAAAGCAACUAAAUUGCAAUAAAUUUGGGUCAGUUUCAAUGUUCAUCAAUGUCAUCCAAAACAAAUAAUUGAACCCCCAAAAACAAAAAGUAAGAAAGGACUCAACAAGCAAAAAUUAAACAAAAGGAUCUUAAAUUGGGUAAAUGAAAAUUACCAAAAUAGAAGAACCCAGAAACAGUUGUCAAAGAAAUAAUCUGGAUCGAAGGAGAAACGAGUUCCCAAUUGGCCAAAAAAUGGACUUAGGAACAUCGUUGUCGUUGACGGACGAAGAUGGGGAGAUGAGCUGAAUCGUUGAACAAGGAUUGAAGGUAGCCAGACGGGGACGUUUGCUACACUAAUGUCCACACUUCCCGGGGGCAGCAACCAGUUCCGGCAACGGUUUCUCCCCGAAGCAAGAGCUGCUGCUUUCGAGGACCGAAACCAUACUGGAUAUCUAGAAUUGAUGAUUAUCAUGAGGAUUGGUGAUUAGUUGCGAUUAAACAAAAAAAAAAAAUUUUGGGUCAAAUUAUAAAAUGUCAUGUGUCAAAUAGUCAAUAGAUUAAUGUGCCACAUCAGCAAUAUAUCAGUGAAUCAGCAAAAUUUUUAACUAAGUGACGAAUUUGAAUAAAAUGAUCAAAAUAGGAAUAACAGACCUUGGGUAUAGUUUAGAUGAUCUUCGAUCCUGAUAUUCCUCUUCAAUUUAUCAUCAUUGUUAUCUUCGAGCAAUUGGUUACUUUAAA
rnacentral:lncRNA from 1 species